UGAAGACUGAAGCUCAGAAUGUUUUGGAAGAAAAGUAAGCGUGUUUUUAAGAAGAAUCAGAGAUACUCAGUAUAAAACUAAUGGUAUAUUCAGAAGAAUAAUGCGUUUAGAAUCUUCCAGAACCAUAAGUACAGAACGGCUUCUGCUAAUCAUUGUGCUUCCACGUGAAAUAGAAGAGAUGGCCCAUGACUUUGUUUUCUUCACAGGGUGAUAAUAUUGAAUUAUUUU
rnacentral:lncRNA from 1 species